rnacentral:pre_miRNA from 1 species
UCUGGGCAGAGCUGCAGAAGAGGAAGGCAGGCAGGGCUGGACAUCUCUGCCACCCUGCCACCUGCCCUGUCUGUUCUGCCCACAG